UACGGAGGGUGCAAGCGUUAUCCGGAUUCACUGGGUUUAAAGGGUGCGUAGGCGGGCAGGGUAAGUCAGUGGUGAAAUCUCCGAGCUUAACUCGGAAACUGCCAUUGAUACUAUUUGUCUUGAAUAUUGUGGAGGUAAGCGGAAUAUGUCAUGUAGCGGUGAAAUGCUUAGAUAUGACAUAGAACACCAAUUGCGAAGGCAGCUUACUACACAAUGAUUGACGCUGAGGCACGAAAGCGUGGGGAGCAAACAGG
rnacentral:rRNA from 1 species